GAUUCCCCUAGUAACGGCGAGUGAAGAGGGAAAAGCCCAAAUUUGUAAUCUGGCCUUUCUUGAAAGGGUCCGAAUUGUAAUUUUGAGAACUGUUUUCUGUGCUGGACCAUGUACAAGUCUGUUGAAAAACAGCAUCAUUGAGGGUGAAAAUCCCGUAGAUGAUAUGGACUACCAGGGCAAUAUGAUACAGUCUCUAAGAGUCGAGUUGUUUGGGAAUGCAGCUCAAAGUGGGUGGUAAAUUCCAUCUAAGGCUAAAUAUAGGUGAGAGACCGAUAGCAAACAAGUACCGUGAGGGAAAGAUGAAAAGAACUUUGGAAAGAGAGUUAACAGUACGUGAAAUUGUUAAAAGGGAAACAUUUGAAGUUAGACUUGUUAUUGUUGGAUCAGCUUCUUUAUUGAGGUGUAUUCUGAUGAUUAACAGACCAGCAUCAAUUUUUGAGUGCCGGAAAAAGGUAUUGGGAAUGUAGCAUCCUCUGGUUGUGUUAUAGACCUUUACUUCAGAAUACGGUGCUUAGGAUUGAGGAACGCGGUAAGCUUUGUUGCAGAACCUUGUUAAACACAGGGGUCUCCUUACUACGGAUGUUGGUGCAAUAGCUUUAAAUGACCCGUCUUGAAACACGGAC
rnacentral:rRNA from 1 species